rnacentral:lncRNA from 1 species
GUCGUAGCAGAACGCGAGGUUCGGCUCCUUCGGGAGCUUCUUCGCCUUGUCCGCCAUCAUCUUCACCCGCACGAGCGGGAUGAAGUCGCUCGGAUGCUUCAGGAGGAGCGUUAACGCGCCCAUCUCGUGCGUUCGUCACACACUACAGUCGCGCACGCGCGCGCACACGCGCUGAGAGAAAACUCGGCGGGAAACGCGAGAGGAGGCGAUAACCGUCCCGCGCGAUUGACGUCCGUCCGAUCGCGCGACCUGUCGACGCUCCGACGAGACGAGGGAGGCGUGCGCGUGCGAACGCGCGCGCGGUUCGCGAUCGGAGGAUCGAUACGAACCGUGUCGGGU